UACGUAGGUGACAAGCGUUGUCCGGAUUUACUGGGCGUAAAGAGCGCGCAGGCGGUCGAUCAAGUCGAGUGUGAAAGCCCCCGGCUCAACUGGGGAGGGUCAUUCGAUACUGAUCGACUCGAAGGCAGGAGAGGGUAGUGGAAUUCCCGGUGUAGUGGUGAAAUGCGCAGAUAUCUGGAGGAACACCGGUGGCGAAGGCGGCAUCCUGGACCGGCAUUGACGCUGAGGCGCGAAAGCCAGGGGAGCAAACGGG
rnacentral:rRNA from 1 species